rnacentral:rRNA from 1 species
UUCAUGGAGAGUUUGAUCCUGGCUCAGGACGAACGCUGGCGGCGUGCCUAAUACAUGCAAGUCGAGCGGACAGAUGGGAGCUUGCUCCCUGAUGUUAGCGGCGGACGGGUGAGUAACACGUGGGUAACCUGCCUGUAAGACUGGGAUAACUCCGGGAAACCGGGGCUAAUACCGGAUGCUUGAUUGAACCGCAUGGUUCAAUUAUAAAAGGUGGC